UUCUCUCUCUACAACAUCUAUGCUUCCGCAGCUCUUCCUCCUCUUCAACCACAUCUUGAUGCAACAUAUUCAUCCAAAAAUGAAUAUUAAACACAAGGCCAGUGGAAGCAAGAGCAAGAUGGUGAUAAUCAUGAUCAUGUUGCUUAGAGCUUUAGAGCCUUGAAUAGAUAACCA